CCAUAAGGAGGUGUGAGAGGUGGGGCUCAGGAGGACACAUCGGGCCCUGGAUAUUAGCAGACAGUGAGUGAUCACAAAGCCUUCUACGUCCUUUUUACCUGGGACCAGGAGGCCCAGAUAUACGAGCUGGUGGCACAGACUGUGUCGGAGCGGAAAAACUGGUGUGCUCUCAUCACUGAGACUGCCGGAUCCCUGAAAGUCCCUGCCCCUGCCUCUCGCCCUAAGCCCCGGCCCAGCCCGAGCAGCACCCGAGAACCCCUCCUCAGCAGCUCUGAGAACGGCAAUGGUGGCCGAGAGACGUCUCCAGCUGAUGCCCGGACCGAGAGAAUCCUCAGUGACCUCCUGCCCUUCUGCAGACCAGGCCCCGAGGGCCAGCUCGCUGCCACGGCCCUUCGGAAAGGAGUUGGAGGAGGAAUUUUGCCGCCUGAGACCCCUCCUGUCUCAGCUUGGGGGGAACUCUGUCCCCCAGCCUGGCUGCACUUGAGGUUCCCGCCCAGGAAGGCCUUUUGCAAGAAGGAGAGGAAUGGGGGAGAGGACGUGAGGGACCACCCCCACCCACACAGCUGCCGCAGCAUCUCACACCCCGAGGGCCUGAGGAGAGGGAGCUGUGGGCCACGCCUGGGAGGGGCCCAGCUGGGGUUACUGGCCCCGCAUGAGCCUCGGCCAUCUCUCCCUCCUGCCCUCUGCUUGGGGGACUCAGGGCUCCAUUCUGGAGGGCACCACGGUGACCCGGGCCAUCUCAGUAUUGCCUGUGGGGGCCACCCCUCCACCCCCACCCCCAAGUGCCUUCGCUCUGUUUUUAUACCCUGAAUUGGAGGUUUAUUUUUUAAUAUAUAUUAUCUAAGAAGA
rnacentral:lncRNA from 1 species